UGUGGACAUGGUGGUGAGCCGUGGCAAGGACCAGAAUGGAUCACAGAUGAUCGUUGGCCAACAGGUGGCAGAAGAGGAAUUCCUGCCUUCCUCAAGAGGAACACCUACCCCUUGGCUAAUGCUGGGGUGGAGAUGGGGCAUGAGGAUCCUCCAGGGGAAAAGCUCACUACCACUGGGCAACAACCCUAGGUCAGGAGGUUCUGUCAAGAUACUUUCCUGGUCCCAGAUAGGAAGAUAAAGUCUCAAAAACAACCACCACACGUCAAGCUCUUCAUUGUUCCUAUCUGCCAAAUCAUUAUACUUCCUACAAGCAGUGCAGAGAGCUGAGUCUUCAGCAGGUCCAAGAAAUUUGAACACACUGAAGGAAGUCAGCCUUCCCACCUGAAGAUCAACAUGCCUGGCACUCUAGCACUUGAGGAUAGCUGAAUGAAUGUGUAUUUCUUUGUCUCUUUCUUUCUUGUCUUUGCUCUUUGUUCUCUAUCUAAAGUGUGUCUUACCCAUUUCCAUGUUUCUCUUGCUAAUUUCUUUCGUGUGUGCCUUUGCCUCAUUUUCUCUUUUUGUUCACAAGAGUGGUCUGUGUCUUGUCUUAGACAUAUCUCUCAUUUUUCAUUUUGUUGCUAUUUCUCUUUGCUCUCCUAGAUGUGGCUCUUCUUUCACGCUUUAUUUCAUGUCUCCUUUUUGGGUCACAUGCUGUGUGCUUUUUGUCCUUUUCUUGUUCUGUCUACCUCUCCUUUCUCUGCCUACCUCUCUUUUCUCUUUGUGAACUGUGAUUAUUUGUUACCCCUUCCCCUUCUCGUUCGUUUUAAAUUUCACCUUUUUUCUGAGUCUGGCCUCCUUUCUGCUGUUUCUACUUUUUAUCUCACAUUUCUCAUUUCUGCAUUUCCUUUCUGCCUCUCUUGGGCUAUUCUCUCUCUCCUCCCCUGCGUGCCUCAGCAUCUCUUGCUGUUUGUGAUUUUCUAUUUCAGUAUUAAUCUCUGUUGGCUUGUAUUUGUUCUCUGCUUCUUCCCUUUCUACUCACCUUUGAGUAUUUCAGCCUCUUCAUGAAUCUAUCUCCCUCUCUUUGAUUUCAUGUAAUCUCUCCUUAAAUAUUUCUUUGCAUAUGUGGGCAAGUGUACGUGUGUGUGUGUCAUGUGUGGCAGAGGGGCUUCCUAACCCCUGCCUGAUAGGUGCAGAACGUCGGCUAUCAGAGCAAGCAUUGUGGAGCGGUUCCUUAUGCCAGGCUGCCAUGUGAGAUGAUCCAAGACCAAAACAAGGCCCUAGACUGCAGUAAAACCCAGAACUCAAGUAGGGCAGAAGGUGGAAGGCUCAUAUGGAUAGAAGGCCCAAAGUAUAAGACAGAUGGUUUGAGACUUGAGACCCGAGGACUAAGAUGGAAAGCCCAUGUUCCAAGAUAGAUAGAAGCCUCAGGCCUGAAACCAACAAAAGCCUCAAGAGCCAAGAAAACAGAGGGUGGCCUGAAUUGGACCGAAGGCCUGAGUUGGAUGGAAGUCUCAAGGCUUGAGUUAGAAGUCUUAAGACCUGGGACAGGACACAUGGAAGGCCUAAGAACUGAGACUUGUGACACAAGGCCAACGACCUAAGAUUAGCCCAGGGUUGUAGCUGGAAGACCUACAACCCAAGGAUGGAAGGCCCCUGUCACAAAGCCUACCUAGAUGGAUAGAGGACCCAAGCGAAAAAGGUAUCUCAAGACUAACGGCCGGAAUCUGGAGGCCCAUGACCCAGAACCCAGGAAGGAUAGAAGCUUGAAGACCUGGGGAAAUCCCAAGAUGAGAACCCUAAACCCUACCUCUUUUCUAUUGUUUACACUUCUUACUCUUAGAUAUUUCCAGUUCUCCUGUUUAUCUUUAAGCCUGAUUCUUUUGAGAUGUACUUUUUGAUGUUGCCGGUUACCUUUAGAUUGACAGUAUUAUGCCUGGGCCAGUCUUGAGCCAGCUUUAAAUCACAGCUUUUACCUAUUUGUUAGGCUAUAGUGUUUUGUAAACUUCUGUUUCUAUUCACAUCUUCUCCACUUGAGAGAGACACCAAAAUCCAGUCAGUAUCUAAUCUGGCUUUUGUUAACUUCCCUCAGGAGCAGACAUUCAUAUAGGUGAUACUGUAUUUCAGUCCUUUCUUUUGACCCCAGAAGCCCUAGACUGAGAAGAUAAAAUGGUCAGGUUGUUGGGGAAAAAAAAGUGCCAGGCUCUCUAGAGAAAAAUGUGAAGAGAUGCUCCAGGCCAAUGAGAAGAAUUAGACAAGAAAUACACAGAUGUGCCAGACUUCUGAGAAGCACCUGCCAGCAACAGCUUCCUUCUUUGAGCUUAGUUUCUGGCAUCACUACCACUACUGAUUAAACAAGAAUAAGAGAACAUUUUAUCAUCAUCUGCUUUAUUCACAUAAAUGAAGUUGUGAUGAAUAAAUCUGCUUUUAUGCAGACACAAGGAAUUAAGUGGCUUCGUCAUUGUCCUUCUACCUCAAAGAUAAUUUAUUCCAAAAGCUAAGAUAAAUGGAAGACUCUUGAACUUGUGAACUGAUGUGAAAUGCAGAAUCUCUUUUGAGUCUUUGCUGUUUGGAAGAUUGAAAAAUAUUGUUCAGCAUGGGUGACCACCAGAAAGUAAUCUUAAGCCAUCUAGAUGUCACAAUUGAAACAAACUGGGGAGU
rnacentral:lncRNA from 1 species